rnacentral:rRNA from 1 species
UCUNCGGGGGGCAGCAGUGGGGAAUAUUGGACAAUGGGCGAAAGCCUGAUCCAGCCAUGCCGCGUGUGUGAAGAAGGUCUUCGGAUUGUAAAGCACUUUAAGUUGGGAGGAAGGGCAGUAAGUUAAUACCUUGCUGUUUUGACGUUACCAACAGAAUAAGCACGAUU